rnacentral:tRNA from 1 species
GGGCCUGUAGCUCAGUUGGUUAGAGCACUUCUCUGAUAAGGAAGGGGUCACUAGUUCGACUCUAGUCAGGCCCA